GUCGCUUCCAGUACUUUGAGCUUGUACCUCGUCAACACUAGAAUAAUGCACUACAGCCAGUUCGCCAUCUUGCUUCUUGCAAGCUGUGCUUUUGCCCAUACAGUCAACCAAGGGGACCUAUAUAACGCUUUGAACACUAAUGAAACCAUCUGGCUAAAGCAACGGAGCUUUGAAGAACACACUACGUGUGUAGCUGACAAAAUGGUGUUUCUGAAUUACACUGAUUACAAGUUUACGCAUUCCUACUUGAAUGGUACUCAACCUCAAAACCAGACCCUCUUUGCGAAAUUGCAUAAUUCAACAGAGGGCGGGAAUCCUUACAUGACCGUCAGCAUACAAGGAACAAGUGGGAUCAACUUCACGCUAGAUUAUUGGAAUGACACGGAGAAGUGCGGAGUUCUUACAUUCCAGCCGGGAGGUGAGUGCCUCGGCCAGCAGAAAUGUCUGAAUUUCCUUUGUGCUGGUCACUGUGUCUCUACGCGUGAACUUCCAAGUUGGUCUUAACACCCGGUUCGUUUUCUUGGCAUACGCCACAGGAUGGACGUCGAUGUCUAGCCGAUAACCAACAGUUUUGUAUGUAAUGACUCUACCACAGCCUCCUGUAAAUUUGCCAUCAAAGCAGUAAAGCUACAGUAAUUUCGAAUCUUUCAUUCUCAUCGGUACAAGUCUUUCUAAACCUAUAGAACAACAAACUACACUGCGAAUCUAGCACCUAAGUCGCAUGAAUCAAGAUUUAGGACAAAUAUAAAACGAGAAACGUAAUUGAUAAACCGCGUACGUGUUUUUUUCGGUGAAGAAAACGAUUGGCCUUACAAACUAUCUCGUUAGCUUUACUCUGUGGCGAUAUUUCGUUAAGCUUCUAUAUACUCAUCAUACAGAUACCAAGCUAGGCUUACACGAGUGGGCCACUUGUGAAUUCAGCGAGCAAAUAAGCGUGAAGUCGCUAUCGGCACGUCAUCGGUCUUUUUGUGUGUACAGA